rnacentral:rRNA from 1 species
GGGUCAGUAGGUUGGUCGUGCCACCGGUACGUACUGGUCUCACCGAUUCCUCCUUCCUGAAGAACCGUAAUGCCAUUAAUUUGGUGUUGCGGGGAAACAGGACUGUUACUUUGAAAAAAUUAGAGUGUUUAAAGCAAGCUAACGCUUGAAUACAUUAGCAUGGAAUAAUGAAAUAGGACGACCGAUCCUAUUUUGUUGGUUUCUAGGAUUGACGUA